UACGGGGGGGGCAAGCGUUGUUCGGAAUUACUGGGCGUAAAGGGCUCGUAGGUGGCCAACUACGUCAGACGUGAAAUCCCCAGGCUCAACUUGGGAACUGCGUCUGAUACUGGAUGGCUUGAAUUCGGGAGAGGGAUGCAGAAUUCCAGGUGUAGCGGUGAAAUGCGUAGAUAUCUGGAGGAAUACCGGUGGCGAAGGCGGCAUCCUGGACCGAGAUUGACACUGAUGAGCGAAAGCUAGGGGAGCAAACGGG
rnacentral:rRNA from 1 species